AUACGGAGGGUGCAAGCGUUGUUCGGAAUUAUUGGGCGUAAAGGGCGCGUAGGCGGCAGUGUAAGUCAGAUGUGAAAUACUCCGGCUCAACCAGAGAACAGCAUCUGAAACUGCACAGCUAGAGUACAGAAGAGGGAAACGGAAUUCCCGGUGUAGAGGUGAAAUUCGUAGAUAUCGGGAGGAACACCAGUGGCGAAGGCGGUUUCCUGGUCUGAUACUGACGCUGAGGCGCGAAAGCGUGGGGAGCAAACAGGAUUAGAUACCCUGGUAGUCCACGCUGUAAACGGUGAACACUAGGUGUGGGAGGUGUAAUACCUUCCGUGCCGUAGCUAACGCGUUAAGUGUUCCGCCUGGGAAGUACGGCCGCAAGGUUGAA
rnacentral:rRNA from 1 species